rnacentral:tRNA from 1 species
AUUAAAAUAGCUUAUAUAGAGCAUAAUAUUGAAGAUAUUAAGAGAUUUUAAAUCUUUUAAUA